rnacentral:lncRNA from 1 species
UUUCUGUUUGUUAGUUUUCCUUCUAACAGACAGGACCCUCAGCUGCAGGUCUGUUGGAAUACCCUGCCGUGUGAGAUGUCAGUGUGCCCCUGCUAGGGGGUGCCUCCCAGUUAGGCUGCUCGGGGGUCAGGGGUCAGGGAACCACUUGAGGAGGCAGUCUGCCCGUUCUCAGAUCUCCAGCUGUGUGCUGGGAGAACCACUGCUGUCUUCAAAGCUGUCAGACAGGGACAUUUAAGUCUGCAGAGGUUACUGCUGUCUUUUUGUUUGUCUGUGCCCUGCCCCCAGAGGUGGAGCCUACAGAGGCAGGCAGGCCUCCUUGAGCUGUGGUGGGCUCCACCCAGUUGGAGCUUCCUGGCUGCUUUGUUUACCUUAGCAAGCCUGGGCAAUGGCGGGCGCCCCUCCCCCAGCCUCGCUGCCGCCUUGCAGUUUGAUCUCAGACUGCUGUGCUAGCAAUCAGCAAGACUCCGUGGGCGUAGGACCCUCCAAGCCAGGUGCGAUAUAAUGUCGUGGUGCGCCGUUUUUUAAGCUGGUUGGAAAAGCGCAGUAUUCGCGUGGGAGUGACCCGAUUUUCCAGUGAGAUGAACCCGGUACCUCAGAUUGAAAUGCAGAAAUCACCCGUCUUCUGCGUCGCUCACGCUGGGAGCUGUAGACCGGAGCUGUUCCUAUUCGGCCAUCUUGGCUCCUCCCUCAGUUCUGGAGACUGGGACAUCCAAGGUCAAUGUGCUGGCAGAUUCAAUGUCUGGAGUGAAAUACAUCACCGCUUUCCCUGCUCCCGCCGCCAUUAAAAUUGUGUUUGGCAUCUGACCACCAAGAUACAGAUAUUUCCUAGACUGUUUUGCAGCUAGGUACUUAGAAAUAUCAACACUGUUUGCACUAUAAUUUACUUUUUGAGCCUCUGACAUUUACCCAGCUGACUGUCUUUGGAGAACAAUCUCUUGUCUGAGAAGCACUCUAGAAUGGAAGCCUCUUUGAAGAAAGUGUGGGAGGGGCAAAUCUAGACCACAGGUGAAGAAAAUGGGAUACAACAACCAGGAGAGGAUGAAAAUAUGAGAUGAAAAAUAUG